UGUUCUUUUAUUAACAAAAUAAAAACUUGUCAACAAUCAAGCAUUCAGAGGAAGGCUUCAUUCCCAGAACGCUGGCAGUCAGACCAAGCACAAUUGAAGGUUUACCGAUUGUAUGCGAGCCAUUGGCUGUACAUCCUGGUCUGAAACAUCAUGAAAAAAUAGGACGACAAACUAGAACACAGAUACAACUCUAACAAAUAUAAGUACACAUAUGAAGCGCCAUCAGACUUGUGUACAACUAAACGAAAAAAAGAAGGAAAGAACGCCAAUGGUCAUCCUUCAUGAUUGGCUUUUCUCAAUUAAAAUGUGAUGGGAUGGUUGACAGAUGCCAAUGAUGCUCCACAAAACUAUUUCUAUGCUAUUUGUCAAACUCAAUUUUACAUAUUCGUUGGAUAAUUGUGUUUUGAUAAUAAAACAGCUUAAGACGAAAAAAA